UUGACAUUUACACAACAAUUCAAAUUUUAAUAGAACUUAAUUUUAAUUUGUUGUUUAGUAGUUGAAGUAGUAUAAAAUAUAUUUUUGGUGAAGGAAACUUUUUUAAUUUUUGCAGAAAUCGAAGAUUUGGGCACUGUCAAAAUAACGAGUUUGGAAUUUAUUUAUGCAUUGAUGUUAAAAAGGAAAAAUAAAAUCAGGCAGACUUUCGGCUAUUUGGCAAAAAAAAAAAAAAAAAAAAAAAAAUUUCAAAAAUAAAGCAAAACAAAGCAAAGCACAGCAAAGAAGUGAAAAGUCAACGUCUGCGACUGUUCAUUCAUGGAUAUAUUUAGCUGAGGAUCUGUAUCUUGAAAUUUAGCUGUAUCUCUGUCUGUAUCUGUAUCUGUAUCUGUAUUUAGUGAGCUUUACAGUUGUUUUUGCGCCGUUGUCGUGAUGGUCGCUGUGGCUGCUGAGCGCGAGCUCGCUUUGCUCAGCCAAUGCCAAUGCUAAUGCUAAUGAUAAUGAUGAUUAUGAUAAUGGCCGCUCGCUAGCGAUAAUGAUGGCCAGCCAGCUGACAACUGUCCACUAACUGAACUGAGUCUAAAACUCUAACCGAACACCAGACAGCGGGGAAUGUGUGAUAGUAUUACCCGCAAAUUACAGUUAAAUUAAAGACUAUUCCGUGAUUAAUUAUAUCUCCAGCAAUUAUACACAAAUAUGCAAAAACACAUACAUACAUGCAUAUAUAGAGUAUUGGGGACCUCCCAGGCGACAGCAGGCAACGGCAUCAAAUGAGCACUCUGACAUAGCCGAUCACUCAGCUAAUUGGGUAACUUCUAUUCGUUUUCGAAAAUGUUGCCAAAAUUGUAAAAUUGAGUCAGAGCGACGCCCACAGUUAGUUGUCGAAGACUGGCCCCCACCGACCUCUAUAAGCUGGAUAUGGAAAUUGAUUAGCCUAUGGCUUUAGGUUUUGGAAGUGGGCGAGGUCGCGUAGCGCUGCGCGUUCUGUAGGUCUCUGGGUCGCGUAUCACUUUCAUAUUGAUAAUCGCAAUAAAUCACAGAAGUGAUUUUAUUAUUUAUUUAUUAUAUGGCAUAUAUCGAAGCGUCUCGAGCAGUCGCUGAGACAUCAAAUAAAGUUCUUUGAUUCGUUUUGA